GAGUUUGUCGGUUGGUCGGGCUUCACUGUCCGCACUGACCUGAUGGAUUCCUACCUUCUGAAUAACCAGCAUGCUAUUAAGUUAGUGCGUUGGGGAAGCAGAGCUAUUACCUUGAAAAAAUUAGAGUGCUUAAAGCAGGCUUAUGCUUGAAUAAAUUAGCAUGGAAUAAUAAAAUAGGACGUUUAAUUCUAUAUUGUUGGUUUCUAGGAUCACCGUA
rnacentral:rRNA from 1 species